GCAUGGGUUUGGAUUUAUGGCAGGCCCGUCCCUCUGGGUCUCUCUUAGUGUCCCACACCAGAGCAAAGUAGCCUCCAACCACUGCCUGGCCUCCGCCCAUAGGCUGCAGGCACUGGCGUGGGCUGCACAGUG